GGGUUGUGAGGUUAAGCGACUAAGCGUACACGGUGGAUGCCCUGGCAGUCAGAGGCGAUGAAGGACGUGCUAAUCUGCGAUAAGCGCCGGUAAGGUGAUAUGAACCGUUAUAACCGGCGAUUUCCGAAUGGGGAAACCCAGUGUGACUCGUCACACUAUCAUUAACUGAAUCCAUAGGUUAAUGAGGCGAACCGGGGGAACUGAAACAUCUAAGUACCCCGAGGAAAAGAAAUCAACCGAGAUUCCCCCAGUAGCGGCGAGCGAACGGGGAGGAGCCCAGAGCCUGAAUCAGCAUGUGUGUUAGUGGAAGCGUCUGGAAAGGCGCGCGAUACAGGGUGACAGCCCCGUACACAAAAGCGCAUGUGCUGUGAGCUCGAUGAGUAGGGCGGGACACGUGGUAUCCUGUCUGAAUAUGGGGGGACCAUCCUCCAAGGCUAAAUACUCCUGACUGACCGAUAGUGAACCAGUACCGUGAGGGAAAGGCGAAAAGAACCCCGGCGAGGGGAGUGAAAAAGAACCUGAAACCGUGUACGUACAAGCAGUGGGAGCACCCUUUGGGGUGUGACUGCGUACCUUUUGUAUAAUGGGUCAGCGACUUAUAUUCUGUAGCAAGGUUAACCGAAUAGGGGAGCCGGAGGGAAACCGAGUCUUAAUUGGGCGUUAAGUUGCAGGGUAUAGACCCGAAACCCGGUGAUCUAGCCAUGGGCAGGUUGAAGGUUGGGUAACACUAACUGGAGGACCGAACCGACUAAUGUUGAAAAAUUAGCGGAUGACCUGUGGCUGGGGGUGAAAGGCCAAUCAAACCGGGAGAUAGCUGGUUCUCCCCGAAAGCUAUUUAGGUAGCGCCUCGUGAAUUCAUCUCCGGGGGUAGAGCACUGUUUCGGCUAGGGGGCCAUCCCGGCUUACCAACCCGAUGCAAACUGCGAAUACCGGAGAAUGUUAUCACGGGAGACACACGGCGGGUGCUAACGUCCGUCGUGAAGAGGGAAACAACCCAGACCGCCAGCUAAGGUCCCAAAGUCAUGGUUAAGUGGGAAACGAUGUGGGAAGGCCCAGACAGCCAGGAUGUUGGCUUAGAAGCAGCCAUCAUUUAAAGAAAGCGUAAUAGCUCACUGGUCGAGUCGGCCUGCGCGGAAGAUGUAACGGGGCUAAACCAUGCACCGAAGCUGCGGCAGCGACGCUGAUGCGUUGUUGGGUAGGGGAGCGUUCUGUAAGCCUGUGAAGGUGGCCUGUGAGGGUUGCUGGAGGUAUCAGAAGUGCGAAUGCUGACAUAAGUAACGAUAAAGCGGGUGAAAAGCCCGCUCGCCGGAAGACCAAGGGUUCCUGUCCAACGUUAAUCGGGGCAGGGUGAGUCGACCCCUAAGGCGAGGCCGAAAGGCGUAGUCGAUGGGAAACGGGUUAAUAUUCCCGUACUUGGUGUUACUGCGAAGGGGGGACGGAGAAGGCUAUGUUGGCCGGGCGACGGUUGUCCCGGUUUAAGCGUGUAGGUGUGUGUUCCAGGUAAAUCCGGUUCACUUUAACACUGAGGCGUGAUGACGAGGCACUACGGUGCUGAAGCAACAAAUGCCCUGCUUCCAGGAAAAGCCUCUAAGCAUCAGGUAACAUCAAAUCGUACCCCAAACCGACACAGGUGGUCAGGUAGAGAAUACCAAGGCGCUUGAGAGAACUCGGGUGAAGGAACUAGGCAAAAUGGUGCCGUAACUUCGGGAGAAGGCACGCUGACACGUAGGUGAAGUGAUUUACUCAUGGAGCUGAAGUCAGUCGAAGAUACCAGCUGGCUGCAACUGUUUAUUAAAAACACAGCACUGUGCAAACACGAAAGUGGACGUAUACGGUGUGACGCCUGCCCGGUGCCGGAAGGUUAAUUGAUGGGGUCAGCGCAAGCGAAGCUCCUGAUCGAAGCCCCGGUAAACGGCGGCCGUAACUAUAACGGUCCUAAGGUAGCGAAAUUCCUUGUCGGGUAAGUUCCGACCUGCACGAAUGGCGUAAUGAUGGCCAGGCUGUCUCCACCCGAGACUCAGUGAAAUUGAACUCGCUGUGAAGAUGCAGUGUACCCGCGGCAAGACGGAAAGACCCCGUGAACCUUUACUAUAGCUUGACACUGAACAUUGAGCCUUGAUGUGUAGGAUAGGUGGGAGGCUUUGAAGUGUGGACGCCAGUCUGCAUGGAGCCGACCUUGAAAUACCACCCUUUAAUGUUUGAUGUUCUAACGUGGACCCGUAAUCCGGGUUGCGGACAGUGUCUGGUGGGUAGUUUGACUGGGGCGGUCUCCUCCUAAAGAGUAACGGAGGAGCACGAAGGUUGGCUAAUCCUGGUCGGACAUCAGGAGGUUAGUGCAAUGGCAUAAGCCAGCUUGACUGCGAGCGUGACGGCGCGAGCAGGUGCGAAAGCAGGUCAUAGUGAUCCGGUGGUUCUGAAUGGAAGGGCCAUCGCUCAACGGAUAAAAGGUACUCCGGGGAUAACAGGCUGAUACCGCCCAAGAGUUCAUAUCGACGGCGGUGUUUGGCACCUCGAUGUCGGCUCAUCACAUCCUGGGGCUGAAGUAGGUCCCAAGGGUAUGGCUGUUCGCCAUUUAAAGUGGUACGCGAGCUGGGUUUAGAACGUCGUGAGACAGUUCGGUCCCUAUCUGCCGUGGGCGCUGGAGAACUGAGGGGGGCUGCUCCUAGUACGAGAGGACCGGAGUGGACGCAUCACUGGUGUUCGGGUUGUCAUGCCAAUGGCACUGCCCGGUAGCUAAAUGCGGAAGAGAUAAGUGCUGAAAGCAUCUAAGCACGAAACUUGCCCCGAGAUGAGUUCUCCCUGAGACUUAGAGUCUCCUGAAGGAACGUUGAAGACGACGACGUUGAUAGGCCGGGUGUGUAAGCGCAGCGAUGCGUUGAGCUAACCGGUACUAAUGAACCGUGAGGCUUAACCUUACAACGCCGAAG
rnacentral:rRNA from 1 species